rnacentral:lncRNA from 1 species
UGCUACGGCUCCUGAAAUCCUCCGGUGUGAACUUCUCCCAGGGCUGUUGAUGCUUCAUCUACUCUUCUGGCAGUGGGGGCCUGGACCUUAGUUACCCGGGGAGCUCACACCAGAAGAGGGCAUUGGAUCCCACUAUAGACUGUUGUGAGCCACCUUGUGGUUGCUAGGAAUUGAACUCAGGACCUCUGGAAGAGCAGUUGGUGCUCUUAACUGCUGAGUCAUCUCUCCAGCCCCAGGUGUUCUGCCCAGUUUAUAGAGCAAGGAAUUGAAGCUUGGAGAAGAUUGAUGGACCACUCAAGUUCUCUGGAUGGUCCAGGAUGCAGACUGAGGCUGGCCUAAAACGUUAGUUUUGCUGACUCCCUGUGCUUGGCUAACCUUAGAGCCUCUUACCUUGCCAUAGUCUUUUCUAUGAAGGACAGAGAGCCAAGGAGUGGACCAACAUGCCUGAGUUUACACAGUGGACCUGAGGACCUUCACCUCCCAGUGCAAUGUUCCUGUGUACU